rnacentral:tRNA from 1 species
AUAGCUUAGUGGUUAAGAGCAUUGGCUGCUCUUCCACAGGACCUGGGUUCAAUUCCCAGU